GAGUUUGAUCCUGGCUCAGAUUGAACGCUGGCGGCAUGCCUAACACAUGCAAGUCGCGCGGAGUGUAGCAAUACACUUAGCGGCGGACGGGUGAGGAAUACAUAGGAAUUUGCCUUUAGGUGGGGGAUAGCCCAGGGAACUUGGAGUAAUACCGCAUGAUGUCGUGAGGCCAAAGCCGGGGACCGCAAGGCCUGGCGCCUUUAGAGAAGCCUAUGUCUGAUUAGCUAGUUGGUGAGGUAAUGGCUCACCAAGGCAACGAUCAGUAGCUGGUCUGAGAGGACGAUCAGCCACACCGGAACUGAGACACGGUCCGGACUCCUACGGGAGGCAGCAGUGGGGAAUAUUGGACAAUGGGCGCAAGCCUGAUCCAGCAAUGCCGCGUGUGUGAAGAAGGCCUCGGUU
rnacentral:rRNA from 1 species